GAUGGUGACUUAAGAAUGGCUCCGAUGGAACUACUGGUGUGACUCCUGACAAACAAACCAAGGAAAGUCUGUUGGGUUUGGGGGAAUCCCUCUAGGGGAUGGAGUGGUUAUCUAUUUGAACUACUUGAGCCUUCUGGGUCCUUGGGCUUCCAACUCUCCACAGAGCAGGGGACUGCUUUCUGCUCUGUUGUCACAAAUGGAUUCCCAUGAGGCUAACACUUUUCAUGCAUCCUGCCAACAGAAAUUGCUACUUCUUCAAGUAAAAAAUGAUGUUCUAUGAAAAAGUGACUAAUUCAAUUCACAAAUCCAAAUAUCAAAGGAGUGUUUUGCCAGGAGACAGCCCCUUGCCUACUUUGGUGUGCAGCAGAAGUGUUUUAUGUGUCCUCCUCAUUUCAUCACAAAGAAUAUUAAAAAGACAUGUACUCAAGUGUUGAAAUUUAAUACAAUUAAUAUUUACUACAA